rnacentral:lncRNA from 1 species
CAGGUUUCAAGGAGACAGCCUUCCUGUAUGCAGUGUCCAUGGCCGCCCUCACCCAUGCACUGGCCCGGGCCUGCAGUGCUGGGCGAAUGGAGCGCUGCACCUGCGAUGACUCCCCAGGCCUGGAAAGCCGGCAAGCCUGGCAGUGGGGUGUGUGUGGUGACAACCUCAGGUACAGCACCAAGUUUCUGACCAACUUCCUGGGCCCCAAGAGAGGAAGCAAGGACCUGCGGGCUCGGGCUGAUGCCCACAACACCUAUGUGGGCAUCAAGGCGGUGAAGAGUGGCCUCCGGACCACCUGCAAGUGCCACGGAGUGUCAGGAUCCUGUGCUGUGCGCCACCUGCUGGAAGCAGCUCUCCCCAUUCCGUGAGACAGGCCAGGUGCUGAAGCUGCGCCUAUGACUCAGCUGUCAAGGUGUCUAGUGCCACCAACGAGGCUUUGGGCCACCUGGAGCUGUGGGCACCUGCCAAGCCAGGUGGCCCUGCCAAAGGCCUGGCACCCCGGCGGUUGACCUGGUCUACAUGGAGGACUCCCCCAGCUUCUGCCGGCCCAGCAAGUAUUCUCCAGGCACAGCUGGCAGGGUGUGUUCCCGGGAGACCAGCUGCAGCAGCUUGUGCUGUGGGCGUGGCUAUGACACCCAGAGCCGCCUGGUGGCCUUCUCCUGCCACUGCCAGGUUCAGUGGUGCUGCUAUGUGGAAUGCCAGCAGUGCAUGCAGCAGGAGCUUGUGUACACCUGUAAGCGCUAGGCACUGCAUGGUGAGCCAGCCCAUGCUGCCAGGACCUUGGCCCUGUGGAACAGCUGUACACAAUGUGUAUGGACAAUGAUGGACAUGCCUGUGCACAUGUGUGCCACUCCUCACUUUUCUGUCCCCACUCCACCCUUGGCCAGCCUCUUGCCUCCCAUAGUACUCAGCAAACUGAAGCAAAGUGUCCUCCCCUGAGUCCAAGGGUCUCCAACCUUGUUGAGGAUUUGGAGCAGAAGAGCAUAGUAGGAAGCAAUAUGGAGGGAAAUAAAGGAGACCUAGAGGAGGGCAGGAGUGAGGUUGUGGAGAGAAGGAGGGGUAUCCUGCCAUCUCCCAUUCCCAGGAUGCGUGGCCCAGAGCCAGCAAGCCGCUGGGAUUAUGCAGGAGAAACAGUGCCAGCUGGAAGCCUAGGCAGGCGCCCAGCUGGGAUGGGUAAGUUCAGUCCUCUGGCCCUGCUCGGAUUGCAGUGUGAGGUCUGGGUGCCAUACAUCCACACUACUCUGGUGGUGGUGCUAGGAGCUGUUUGGAGCAAGGAAAUCUUUCUGGGUUUAGUGGAAUCAAGUUAGAUCCAUGCCCUUGAGCCUCAUGUCCUUGAUUUGAUUUUUCAAACCUAGUUGCACUGAGACUUCAUUCUUUUCUCCAUAGCUGAAUUUCUCACAGCUAUCCAGCUCUGUUCAAUGAGACUUCUAGGCAGAUGAGAAUGGUGGGAGAGCUAGCUGCCAGAGUGGGACUCAAACAGUGUACCUGCAGCUGGGGAAGAAGACAGUGAGCCCUUUCCGUUUUCCCUGGUAGUCAAAGCAAACUGAUGGCAACCCAGAGGAGGGUAACGGUCACUUGGUGCCAGCAGGGAUGCAGCAAGGUCAGUGUAUCAGCUUGCCCUGGAGUGUAUUCUGGCCGGCCCCUGUGGCUGUGGUCCACCUGGGCUGGGAGGCCCCACAGCUGCUGACAUUCGUGUUGCUGAAGGACCUUAGACUCAUGAUCUGUGGUUCUGGUUACAUGUCUGUUCUCAUGGCUGCUUGUCUAAUUCAGGCUUUUGUCCCGGCAGAGUCUGCUAGGCCUGCCUUCUUGGUGGCCCCUUCAUUUAGUAAUAGCCCCUUACUUGGGCCCCAACUUGAGGAAUAGAAGUGACUUUGCUAACUAACUUCCUUGGACCUGUGGACAUUUCCAGUACUACCUUCCAAGACCCUGAGUAGAAGGAGAAAAGAAACUGCAUCCAUUUGUAGGCACACACAGAUGCCUGCACCACUGGGAUCAGGUAGAGGGUUUCCAGGGAGCAGUGCACAUCUCUGUCCCAGGACAAAGAUCUUGCAGGGGUCAGUUUGCUGGAGGCUGUAUGCUUCCCAAGAGCAGAGCCUGAGGCCAGCAGGGGGGACGUGACCUCCUUUGGGAAGUUUAUAGCUGCUUGGCUGGCCUGCUGUGCCCUCUUGUACGCUUCCUUUCUCCCCUGAACCCCGGGCUGCUGACCCUCUGCAGCAACAGGAAAUCCAGAAUCAGCCAAGUGCACAGAACCCUUAGCAAUUCCAGCUCCAGGAAGCAGGCCAGUGGCUGGGCCCAACAGCCUCCCUGAGACCUUCACAGCCACAGGAGCCACCCUCUUUGGUGACUUAAGGCAGUCUGGGAAUGCUGGAAGGAUCUCUGAUGGUAGAGCCAAACUGACUUGACACCCCUUGCGAGAAUGACUUUGCUGACCCUGGCAGCUGGCCCACAUCUUAGCCCAAGGAGAAAAAGGGUUGCAGCCUGGUUUUCUAGUUUUGUUCCACUCUUCUCUGUGUGGAAACUUGUUCUUUGCCAGCCUGAUCCAUCUUGCUGCUCUGUGACUCCAACACUGCCUCUACCUUGGCUCAGCCCUGGGCUGCACUGGCAGAAAGGCACUUGGAAGCAAUGUGAGGGCUAAGGCACCCUGAUC